rnacentral:rRNA from 1 species
UACGUAUGUCGCAAGCGUUAUCCGGAAUUAUUGGGCAUAAAGGGCAUCUAGGCGGUUUGGUAAGUUCGAUGUGAAAAUGCGGGGCUCAACUCCGUAUUGCGUUGAAAACUGCCAGACUAGAGUUUUGGAGGGGUAGGCGGAACUACAAGUGUAGAGGUGAAAUUCGUAGAGAUUUGUAGGAAUGCCGAUGACGAAGGUAGCUUACUGGACAAAUACUGACGCUGAAGUGCGAAAGCUAGGGGAGCAAACAGG